CCCCUCUCAAGGUUACACCUGGAGAGUUCCCAGUACGCUUCCAGUUUCGACUACAGAAGGGAGAGUCAGGCAGAGGCUUAUCCAUUCCAUUCCUAGCUUGGGCAGUGGUUAGUGAGUGGAAGGCAAUUUGCUACAAGA
rfam:Ornithorhynchus anatinus chromosome X1, whole genome shotgun sequence.